rnacentral:rRNA from 1 species
AGAGAGAGACAUGCGCGCAUAUCAAUAAGCGGAGGAAAAGAAACUAACAAGGAUUCCCUUAGUAACGGCGAGUGAAGCGGGAAGAGCUCAAAUUUGAAAUCUUCAAGGUUUUACCUUGACGAAUUGUAGUUUAAAGAAGUGUUUUCUGCUGAAGUUUUGGUAAAAGUUCUUUGGAAUAGGACAUCAUAGAGGGUGAGAAUCCCGUAUUUGACCAUUAUUUUCAGCUUUGUGAUACACUUUCAAAGAGUCGGAUUGUUUGGGAAUGCAGUCCAAAAUGGGUGGUAAAUUUCAUCUAAAGCUAAAUAUUGGCGAGAGACCGAUAGCGAACAAGUACCGUGAGGGAAAGAUGAAAAGAACUUUGAAAAGAGAGUUAAACAGUACGUGAAAUUGUCAAAAGGGAAGCGUUUGACACCAGUGUUGUUUUCUCGAAAAUCAAUUAAAAAUGGCUCGAUUUUGUAUUGCUUGAGACCUUAAAAGCUCACUGUACAUUUUUCGUGUCUUUUUUAAUGCACUUUUCGUUUAAACAAGUCAACAUCAGUUUCUUUUGUUGUAAAAGGGUCAUUGGAAGGUGGCUUUCUUUUCGGAGAAAGUGUUUAUAGCCUUUGGCCUCUGCAAUCGGAGAGACUGAGGUCUGCAGCGUAGACUCUUCGGGGUUAGAUACAUUUGUGCUAAGUUAUAGCUUUUUAUAGACAACUUGUUGACUAUAAUUAGUCUUGUAGCUUACUCGCUUAUGCUAUUUUACCUACGCUUAGGAUGUUGAAGAUGUAGCACAUCAU